UCUCGACCGAAACGUACCUGCAGUACCAGUCGUCCUGUACCAGGUAUUUUUGCUUCUCCAGCUUUAUUAAGACAAUCUCACCCAGGUUCUUCUGCACCUCCACUGGGUAGAACUCCACCUGUGAACAAAAGGCUUUCAGAGGAAAUCAUCCUUUGAUCAAAGAAGAAUUCCUGGCAAGUACUGAACCGUUUAAUAAGUUACUUUGUGCGGAUCAAAAAAAGGAGUGCCCCCUAAAAAAAUAAGAUGGUUAUUUGAAAAGGCAAUGUUUCUGGAAUGUAACAUGACGGCAGCAGAUGUUUCCGACUUGGUUCAUACUCCAUAAAAGGUCCUUUUGAAAAUAUGAUGUUGCAGAUUGUCUGAAAAUGCCACCUACCGAUCCCUGCUCAAAGUCAUUGUGCCAAAGUUUGUCCAGCUGAGUCUUCUGGCUGCAGCCCUCAGUGCCCACCAGUGUUACGGCGAUGGAGUUAUCAGUCCCCGACUUGCCUUGAGUUCCCGUCGCCACACGCACGACAUACGCCAUUGUUGCCACGCUGGAUGGAAACGCU